AAAAUUAGUUCAACGAGAGUAUGCAAUUACCCUCUUCAUUCGCCCAUUGCUUACAGUGUAGAGUCUGUAAGACAAAAAAUUGAAAUAUGCACUACUUUAGCUUGCUGCCGUUCAAACCCCAAAAACCCAGCAAAAUUAACUAUUCAAACCCCAAUCAAUUCGAACUCAGAACCCAAAAAAUUCAACUAGCAACCGAAAUCCCCAGUAAUUUUGAGCCAAAUCCUCCCUAACUCGAGCAAUCCGAGCAGAAAUUCCUCAUUCUCGAGCAAAAAUCAAACCCAAAACCCCCAGAAAUUUCAAACCCGUUCAAAACCCCAAAACCCCAGCAAUUUUCGACCCCAAUCCAAUAAAUUCGACUCCCAAAACCCAACAAAUUCGAUCAACAACUGAAAACCCCCAUUUCUCUCUCUUCCUCUCUCAUCUGCUCACUAUCUCCAUCACUCUACCUCCGCCACCGUUGUCGUCGCUCAUGUCGCCAGAUUCAUUGAACUCCGGCGCCGAUUCCUCUACAUACCUGUUGCUGAUAUGUUGAAGCCAUUGAUGCUGUUGUUGCUGCUACUGUUGUUAAAUGUUCUUAUUAAUGCUAAUCCCAACUUUGUACAAUUAAAAUACUUUCUGUUGGGAUAAAAUUGUAAUAUUUAUUACAAUAAUUAUUAUUGAAAAUAUUUAAGUUAAUAUAUG